GACGAACGCUGGCGGCGUGCUUAACACAUGCAAGUCGAACGGAGAAGCCCUUCUUUUGUUGGGUGCUCGGGUGGCGAACGGGUGAGGAACAUGUGAGUAACCUACCCUUGCCUUUUGUAUUGCUUAAGGGCACUGGGGCUUAUACCAGAUAGGAUCUCCUGCUUCAGUGUGGUGGUUGGACAGGUUCGGCGGUUGGGGAUGGGCUCGCGGCUGUUCAGCUUGUUGGUGGGGUAGUGGCUGACCACGGCUUUGACGGGUGGCCGGCCUGAGAGGGUGUGCGGCCACAUUGGGACUGAGAUACGGCCCAGACUCCUACAGGAGGCAGCAGUGGGGAAUAUUGUACAAUGGGCGGAAGCCUGAUGCAGCAACGCCGCGUGCGGGAUGACGGCCUUCGGGUUGUAAACCGCUUUCGCCUGUGACGAAGCGUGAGUGACGGUAGUGGGUAAAGAAGCACCGGCUAACUACGUG
rnacentral:rRNA from 1 species